UUUAUGGCCCUCGAUGAGGUGAACGGUGGAGAUUCAAGUCCAUUAAUGAGUAGCUAAUCCUACAUUAGACUCCGAAGUAUUUCCCGCCACUGGCAGACGAGACGAGGGAGAAGGCUGAAGUUGAAGAAGAGAAGAGAAGCAAUGGAGUUGAGUCUGACCGGGAACGCCCUCAAGACCUUCGCGCGCUCCGUCACCUGCCUUGCGCGUGUCGGCAACGACCUAGCCAUUCAAGCUUCUCCUUCUCAGCUUGCUCUUCACACUCUUAAUUCAUCGCGGUCUGCCUUUAACUCAAUUACCUUUAAACCUGGCUUCUUCGAUAUCUAUACAAUUUCUGGCAAUCAAGUAGAAUGUAGCGUGCUCUUAAAGGCUGUUUGUUCUGUACUAAGGACACCUAUAGCUAGCAUAGAUAGCUUGAGCAUCAAAUUGCCUGAUCCCGAUGCAUCGAAAGUGCAGUGGACCUUAGAGUGCUUUAAUGGUAUGAGAAAAACCUAUUGGAUUACCUGCAAUGUCGAACCAAACAUACAACAAUUGUCCCUGGAUAGAAGAAAAUUCCCAAGUAACUUUGUAGUGAGGCCUCGAGAUCUCAACAGAUUGCUGGCUAAUUUUCAAUCAUCCCUUCAGGAGAUAACUAUUAUAGCAACAGAACCCAAUUCAUUGCCUUGUGAUGUAGCAAGUGAAAUUGGAGGCAAAGCUGUUGAACUUAGAAGUUAUAUGGACCCAACCAAAGAAAAUGACUCAUCAUUACAUACUCAACUAUGGAUAGAUCCCAUGGAAGAGUUCGUUCACUACACCCACACUGGAGACCCGGUAGAUGUGACUUUUGGGGUGAAGGAAUUGAAGGCAUUUCUUUCUUUUUGUGAAGGCUGUGAAGUUGACAUUCAUCUAUUCUUUGAGAAAGCUGGCGAGCCUAUUCUUAUGGCACCAAAAUUUGGUCUAGAUGAUGGUUCUAAUUCAAACUUUGACGCCACAUUUGUACUUGCAACCAUGUUGACAUCACAACUCCAUGAAAGCCAUCCGCAGCAAACUGCACAAGCUGAUACCACAAGGCACGUAGGGACUGAUAAUGGAACAGCGUCACAACCACAACAAGUCAAGUCUGGAGCAAAUAUUUCUGAGCAUCCAUCUGAUCACACCAGAAUUUGGUCCGAUCUCUCAGGGAGUGCAGCAAGAAAUGGAAAUGGCAAUGAAGGAAGACAGGUUCGAGAGGAACAAAAUUCAAAUGCUAGUGAACAGAGAGAAAUUACUAGAAUCAGCGCAAUGCAUAUAUCUAAAUCUGCAUCAGAUAGAGAAAAUGAACCUGUUAACCCUAAUGCCUUCUACAUGGAAAAGGAUCGGAUCAACGAGCCUCAAGAAAUUAAUGGUCAAGGUGUUUCACAACGCCAUUUCAGUAACUGGGUUGAUGCCAAUGAAGAUGAUGAUGAUGAUGAUGAGGGAGAGGGAGAGGAGACUGAAAUUUAUGUUCAGUCAACACCACCAUAUCAUUAAGAACGUUAGAGCUGCUAGUGCACUGUUUGAUCAGCUGAUAUCUGUUCUCUUCUUUUGUGUGUGGUGUACCUUGCUUGCUCUCGCAGUGAUGCCUAGCUUUUUGUUAAAGAUUGUAAUAUGCCCAUAAAAAUGUAUUAGACUGGACUGGACGUGUAGAUAGAUGUAAUCAAAGAACUGGUGACAGGUAAAUGGCCACCAUAGCUUUGACUCACCUCACGGUCCUCACCUGUAUAUAGUAAGACACAUAUACGCAUGAUUUUUUGCUUGGUAUUUUUCUGGGUUAAUGAUGAGAUUGAGAUGUGUGGCUAAUGUUGUAACAACUGCUUCUUCCUCCAGCUUACUAACUGAACCCCAGAUGAAUCAUAUAUUAAGUGACCAAGUUUGUUGAUACUGGCUUGGCUUAUGCAUUAUAUUAUAUCAAACCUCCAUGUGGGACCCAAUUCACACCUAGUUGCCACGGACAGAUGAGGAUUUUUGUGUUUUCUUGUUUAUGACACGAUCCCUGAACCAAGCUUACAUUCCAGGAUGUCAUUAUAAUGACUACUUGCCUAUAUCAGUCAUCGAGAUAUUGUUUGUUCUUAUUUUAUUAAUUUAUUUCGUUAUUGGAUGUGUUUUAGGACUGACUGAUAAUGGCUCUGUCUUUAUUUAUUUCCUUUUAAUAUUAGCAAUUGGUAUUGGAGCUGUUGGAUCAUA